rnacentral:rRNA from 1 species
CCUACGGGAGGCAGCAGUGAGGAAUAUUGGUCAAUGGACGAGAGUCUGAACCAGCCAAAUAGCGUGAAGGAUGACUGCCCUAUGGGUUGUAAACGUCUUUUAUAAAGGAGUAAAACGACGAACGUGUGCCUUUGUGCAUGUACUUUAUGAAUAAGGAUCGGCUAACUCCGUUCCAGCAGCCGCGGUAAUACGGAGGAUCCGAACGUUAUUCGGAUUUGUUGGGUUUAAAGGGAACGUAGAUGUGUUUUUAAGUCAGGUGUGAAGGUUUGCGGCCUAAACGUAAACUUGCAAUUGAUACGGGCAGUCUUGAGUACAGUUGAGGUAGGCGGAAUUCGUGGUGUAGCGGUGAAAUGCUUAGAUAUCACGAAGAACCCCGAUGGCGAAGGCAGCUUACUAAACUGUGACUGACAUUGAUGCUCGAAAGUGUGGGUAUCAAACAGGAUUAGAUACCCUAGUAGUC